rnacentral:rRNA from 1 species
UGGGGAAUAUUGCACAAUGGAGGGAACUCUGAUGCAGCGACGCCGCGUGAACGAAGAAGGCUUUCGAGUCGUAAAGUUCUUUUAUAUGGGAAGAUAAUGUCGGUACCAUAAGAAAAAGCCCCGGCUAACUACGUGCCAGCAGCCGCGGUAAUACGUAGGGGGCUAGCGUUGUCCGGAAUCACUGGGCGUAAAGGGUUCGCAGGCGGAAAUGCAAGUCAGGUGUAAAAGGCAGUAGCUUAACUACUGUAAGCAUUUGAAACUGCAUAUCUUGAGAAGAGUAGAGGUAAGUGGAAUUUUUAGUGUAGCGGUGAAAUGCGUAGAUAUUAAAAAGAAUACCGGUGGCGAAGGCGACUUACUGGGCUCAUUCUGACGCUGAGGAACGAAAGCGUGGGUAGCAAACAGG